rnacentral:precursor_RNA from 1 species
AGCACUUACGGAUUCUGGGGGUGUGUGCUCCAGCUGCCCUCAGCAUCUUUGGGUGAUGU